AGUGAACGCUGGCGGUAGGCCUAACACAUGCAAGUCGAACGGCAGCACAGUAAGAGCUUGCUCUUACGGGUGGCGAGUGGCGGACGGGUGAGGAAUACAUCGGAAUCUACUUUUUCGUGGGGGAUAACGUAGGGAAACUUACGCUAAUACCGCAUACGACCUGCGGGUGAAAGCAGGGGAUCUUCGGACCUUGCACGAUUGAAUGAGCCGAUGUCGGAUUAGCUAGUUGGCGGGGUAAAGGCCCACCAAGGCGACGAUCCGUAGCUGGUCUGAGAGGAUGAUCAGCCACACUGGAACUGAGACACGGUCCAGACUCCUACGGGAGGCAGCAGUGGGGAAUAUUGGACAAUGGGCGCAAGCCUGAUCCAGCCAUACCGCGUGGGUGAAGAAGGCCUUCGGGUUGUAAAGCCCUUUUGUUGGGAAAGAAAAGCAGCAGGUUAAUACCCCGCUGUUCUGACGGUACCCAAAGAAUAAGCACCGGCUAACUUCGUG
rnacentral:rRNA from 1 species